rnacentral:misc_RNA from 1 species
AAGUCGUAACAAGGUUUCCGUAGGUGAACCUGCGGAAGGAUCAUUAAAAAAUCGAUAAUAGAGACCGCAAGGUUUCUAAUGAGCCGCAAGGCUCUAAUAUUUUGUGAACUGUGUUGUAUGUUUGUGUUGCUGUAUGUGCGAUAGAUGGAGAUGUUGGGUCACGAUACGCGAUAUCAUCGUCGAUGUGCAUAUGGCAACGCACACUACAAACUUGAUAAAUACAUAUGAUUUUGAUGUUGAGGAAAAGUAUUAUAUUAAUAUAUAUACAACUUUCAACAGUGGAUCUCUCGGCUCUU